AUCGCUUCUCGGCCUUUUGGCUAAGAUCAAGUGUAGUAUCUGUUCUUAUCAGGUUAAUAUCUGAGAUGUCCUCUAUAUGGGGAUUAAAUAUUAAAUGCAUUUGCAGUGGGAGGUGAAAGCAGGGCACUCUCUUCACUCCUUGCAUUGACCUGGUAUUGCAGUGCCACCAGGAACGGUGCACCAUUC